rnacentral:rRNA from 1 species
AUUGAACGCUGGCGGCAGGCCUAACACAUGCAAGUCGAGCGAGCGGCGGACGGGUGAGUAAUGCCUGGGCAUUGCCAAGUCGAGGGGGAUCACAGUUGGAAACGACUGCUAAUACCGCAUACGGUUGGCUUGCCCAGGGGGGAUUAGCUAGUUGGUGGGGUAAUGGCUCACCAAGGCGACGAUCCCUAGCUGGUCUGAGAGGAUGAUCAGCCACACUGGAACGGAGACACGGUCCAGACUCCUACGGGAGGCAGCAGUGGGGAAUAUUGGACAAUGGGGGAAACCCUGAUGCAGCCAUGCCGCGUGUGUGAAGAAGGCCUUCGGGUUGUAAAGCACUUUCGGCGGGGAGGCGUUACUUGCAGAAGAAGCACCGGCUAACUACGUGCCAGCAGCCGCGGUAAUUC